rnacentral:rRNA from 1 species
GUAAGGGAAUCUUCCACAAUGGGCGCAAGCCUGAUGGAGCAACACCGCGUGAGUGAAGAAGGGUUUCGGCUCGUAAAGCUCUGUUGUUAAAGAAGAACACGUAUGAGAGUAACUGUUCAUACGUUGACGGUAUUUAACCAGAAAGUCACGGCUAACUACGUGACAG